CAAAUAUAUACGCAUAACCCAAACUCGGUUCAUCCGUAUUUCGAGCUUUCUGCGUGCAGAAAAAAAACUUUUCAGAGUUUGCUCAUAUAACCUUUGAACCGGUCCUGUUCCCGGAUAUGAAUGCAGAACAUGUUUCUGCGGCGUUGCGUCCGCUUCCCUGCGUAUGUCGCGGUGUCUUUCAUUUACUUUGCUGCGUGCUGCUUGUAAUUAAGAUGGGUGACAUUUCCGAUGAACUGACAUGCAGCGUAUGUCUGGAUAUCUACAAAGACCCUUAUUUGCUACCUUGCGGGCACAGUUUUUGUCACCGCUGCAUACAAGGUCUCCGGACGGCUUUGGAGCUGAAGUGCCCAGACUGUCGGAGGGAGUGCAGACGCUGGGAGGAUGUAGUCAGGAACUACAAACUGGCAAACAUUGUGCAAGUGCUUAUGGAAAAGGUGAGUUAUCGCAGGUAAAAUACGUUUAGUGCCCGGAUGUUCCGUCCGGGUUGUACGCCUCGCUGCCGGGAUGGACGUCGGCUAUCCGCGUCCGUGCACAGGGCGAGCUGUCACUGAUGGGUGUCCUGAUCGUAAGUUGUUAAAUGCACUCAUUAGGUCUCACUUUAUUGAAUGCUACCCCGACUUUAAAUAGUGGAUUCGCGGAUGAUAUUUCCCUCUACCCUGAAAUGUCCAGCUAGCUGCCUGCUGUACCCACCGUGCCACCCAAUCCCUGCCUUUGUAUAUAUGCAGGUUUUUUGGGGUAAAGCCACAUGUGAGAAAGGCAUUCUGUGUUGACUCCGGGUUUGGUUUGCUCAGCAAUGAUGUAUAAUACUUAUUUUAUACCAUAAAAUUUGCCAUCCAAGUCAAACUUUAACGGUUAAUAUUAAUAGUUAAUAUUUACGCUCCUUUUCUACAAUAUAGUGUGUUUUAACGUGUAACCAAGACAUUACAGCGGUAGACCAAGAGGAGACCACGGAAGUCACCUCUCAGUCAGCCAAUAGCAGUGGGUCCCCGGGACUGGAGUUGCGAACCACUGUUUUAUUAUUGGCUGAUUGAGAGGUCAUCCCACAAACCUGCACCGGACCGCCAUGGAUCAGGUUUGCCACCCCUGAGCGAGACCAUUAAAGUCCACCCUGCUCCAGUGUCAGGGUUUAUCAUUCGCCCGUUAUGCUGACAUGUGCCACGGUUUAAGUCUGAAAACUGCACCUUAACUGACACGACUGUUUUCCUUAGAGCCCCGAAGCAAGCCCACCUUCAGAUAUUGACCAAUGGAGGCUUUCCUACUGGCUCUUACUAUUGGCUGUGGUGCUGCUGGUCACUGCCGCCUUCUGUAAGUGUUGUUGAUAUGUCUGUACUGGUGCGUUCGAGUCGACAGUGGCCCGGCUGGUAGCACUGCAGGAAUUUGGGAUCAUUUCCUGAUCCCAGAUGUGUGUGGGGUCUUCUCUCCCAAGCUUACGUGGGUUUUCUCUGGUCCCAGAGGUGGGAAGUUCAGGUCCCGAAAGUAAACAUCCAAACCAAGAUUUUGUUUCAACCAACCAGUUGUGGGUAUAAAGAGUCACAUGCACAGAGUACUGAACUGGUUGGUUGGUUGAAACGAAAUCUUGGUCUGGAUUUUCGCUUUCCACCUCUGUUCGGUUUUCAUAGUCCACAAACCAUUUGUUAGGCAUACUGAUGCCUCAGACUUACCCGUAUUGUAUGCAAGCAUGUGUGAUUGUGUGGGUCAUGUGAUUGACUGGUAUCCCGCCCAGCGCCUGGGGACAUGCUCCGGUUUCACUCCGGCUCUGUACUGGUAAAAAACAAACUGGAAUCUACUGCCGAAGAACUGCUGGACUCUCAGAUGCAGCUCAGAACCUUCCAGAAGGAGGGCGCUGACAGCGUGGUGUCACCUGGGAGCAUCACUGACUAUCUGAUGUCCACACUCUACUGGUGUGUCUGGAUCGUCGUCAGUCCCUUAUUGAUUUUAUGGACCUUAGUGCAGUGGCUUGUGGAUGCACUAACUUACCUUAUUUACUUCUGCCUAUGGCUCCUCUACUAUUGCCUUUGGCUAAUGGUCAGCACAAGUUUCGAUUACUUAUUUAAGUUAUUCAACCUGUCUGUCUACACCUGCGGACUCGGCUAUAUUUUUUUAAAGAUGCUGCGUUUGUUGCGGAAGCCACGGACCGGCGGCUGAUGCCGCGAUUGGUGCUACUAACCGGUAAUGUGAUCAGUCUGGCCAAUGACAGGACUUGUUUUUAUUACAUGAAAUACUGCCUAUUAUUUUUUAAUUGGUCUCCAUGGCGUUGCCUGGCACUGAUUUGCUGUACGCCUGGGGAUCAUGUGGUGCGCUUUUCAUAAAUGUAAUUUUGUAUUCAAAAUACAAAUGUGCAUGCACCUAACAAAAGCCUGGGCUUUUAUAUAGAUGGAGGUUUUUGGUAGAACAUGACAUUUUGAACACUAUUUUUGUUACCGCUUAAGAGUUAGCUGUUUUGCAUCCAAGCUGCAAAUCAGAAAUGGCAAUAAAACUUUUCACUAAGA